ACGGAAGGCAGCAGUGAGGAAUAUUGGUCGAUGGGCGGAAGCCUGAACCAGCCAUGCCGCGUGAAGGAAUAAGGUCCUAUGGAUCGUAAACUUCUUUUGAGCGGGAGCAAUAAGGAUUACGUGUAAUCCGAUGAGAGUACCGUUCGAAUAAGCAUCGGCUAACUCCGUGCCAGCAGCCGCGGUAAUACGGAGGAUGCAAGCGUUAUCCGGAUUUAUUGGGUUUAAAGGGUGCGUAGGCUGUCUGUCAAGUCAGUGGUGAAAGCCCUGAGCUCAACUCAGGAACUGCCAUUGAUACUGUCAGGCUGGAAUACGGAUGCCGUGGGAGGAAUGAGUAGUGUAGCGGUGAAAUGCAUAGAUAUUACUCAGAACACCGAUUGCGAAGGCAUCUCACGAAUCCGUCAUUGACGCUGAGGCACGAAAGCGUGGGGAUCAAACAGGAUUAGAUACCCUGGUA
rnacentral:rRNA from 1 species